rnacentral:rRNA from 1 species
ACUAUAAGGCCGUUAAUACCACCUGAGUAGUACCGGCUUAAGCCCUAAACUCAAAGAAUUUGGCGGCUCUUCACCUCUUUAGAGGAACCUGCCCCGUAAUCGAUGAUCCACGUACCUAACUACCUAACUUUAUAGCUUGUAUACCGCCGUUUAGAGUGAGUCCUAAGACCCGCUCUUAAUUAAAUUAUUAAAUAAUUCAGGUCAAGGUGCAGCCCAUGGCUAGGAGGAGGUGGGUUACAAUGAAUUAUAUGGCCGGAAUUUAGACAUAAUAUCUUUGUGAAGUUGGAUUUAAAAGUAAAUUAAAAUUAAAUUGGUAGAGCUCUGAAG